UACGGGGGGGGCAAGCGUUGUUCGGAAUUACUGGGCGUAAAGGGCUCGUAGGUGGCCAACUAAGUCAGACGUGAAAUCCCUCGGCUUAACCGGGGAACUGCAUCUGAUACUGGAUGGCUUGAGUUUGGGAGAGGGAUGCGGAAUUCCAGGUGUAGCGGUGAAAUGCGUAGAUAUCUGGAGGAACACCGGUGGCGAAGGCGGCAUCCUGGACCAACACUGACACUGAGGAGCGAAAGCCAGGGGAGCGAACGGG
rnacentral:rRNA from 1 species